rnacentral:rRNA from 1 species
GACGUAGGGGGCAAGCGUUGUCCGGAAUUAUUGGGCGUAAAGCGCUCGUAGGCGGAUCGGUAAGUCUGUGAAGAAAGACCCGGGCUCAACUCGGGGAACGGCAUAGAUACUGCUGAUCUUGAGACAGUCAGAGGAUGAUGGAAUUCCAGGUGUAGCGGUGAAAUGCGUAGAUAUCUGGAGGAACACCGGUGGCGAAGGCGGGUCUCUGGACCGAUACUGACGCUGAGGAGCGAAAGCGUGGGGAGCGAACAGG